CCGUCCAAGCUGGUAGCAGUAGCUCCUUUGCCUCCACCCUUUCGUCUAUAGUAGCCUUUUAUGUAAACCCUUACUUAUUUUAAAGGAAACUUCAUAGUCAAGAAAUAGGUAAACCCUUGCUAUAUAUAGGAUUUCAUGGAAUCAGUCACUUGCAGAUAAGUGAGAAUAGGAACCUAAUGGUUCUACCAAUACAUGUAACAUCCUUUCCUCCAUGAUUCUUGAAUAUUUCCUCCUCUAACUUCAUUCAAAACCUUACUUCUAACUUGUUUCACUGUCAUUGUAAUGCGAUUCUUGAAUACUUCUGGGCUGCCGGCAGGCGGUUCUAAACCUAAUGCAAAGAACUUUUGCUUCCAGUUCCAAAGCAACGUUUCGUACCCUUUUGCUCAAUGAUCAUCUUCUUCAGCUGUACGGGUUCCUCGACUAAGCGAUUUUUUAAGCUUUCCGACGCUAUCUCAGUUAGUUUGCUUAGCCACUGGUUUUCAUUAUUAGUCACUGCAUUAAUCGCCUUCAUCAAUUUCUGCCACGAAUCACCAUCAUCAACAUUCUCUAAAUUUUUUAACGUUAACAUCUUUGAUUUUCCUAAUUUCAGUCGGUUUAAUAAAGGUUGGUAACCAAGUACAAUUCAGGCCCAUCAUCAAAUGCCUGUUAAACUCUUAACUUCCAUUUUCCUUUUUCAUUUGUUUUUCUUCAUCUGGCAUUCCAAGAAAGGGUCUUUUUCUUUUUCUGGCAAUUGGUAGUGGUUAAUCUGGUUACACAGAAACGAGGUCAUCUUUCGCGGUCAGGUGUGGGAUCCUCUGCAAGUCACUGAUCUUACGCGACUGCGGGCUGCAGCGUGGGUCAGAGCUAAGUGGCCUGGAGAGAAUGGCACCAUUGCAGAUUGCUUCAGAUUUCCCACAAAUGCCAAGGCCUCAAGGCUAAUCACAUUGCGGACGGACUGACAAAGGCAGGCGUUAACAGGGCUCAGCAGCUUCUGACGGUUUUCAACUAGAUUAUUGGCCUCUGAUUGAUUUUUUUUUUUUUCUGUUUUCCUUCUGCUUCUGUUUAUGUGUGCAGGGUGUUUCCUUGGAGAAUCUGAUUUGAUCCUGUUGAUAAGCUGCCUGCAUUUCCCUUUUAGUCUUCACCUGCUGUUUGCUUUUGACGGUGGCUGUGAUGAAUCCAUCCUGAUUCUGGGUAGGUCUGAUUGUGUUUCUCAGUACUGGUUGUAUGGGGUUGAUGAUGGUAGGGAUGCUCUGCUUCUGUCCCUCUGCUUCUGGUGUUGUUUAGAUACAGUUCUAUGUGGUGAGAGCUGGUUGGAUUUUUUUUAAUCCAUUAUGGAUGCUUUUCUGGGUUGCUGCCUGUUUUUUUGUUUUGUUUUGUGCAGCACAUAUUCUGUAGAUACUGUUACUGAAUAGGAGAGGGUUUUUUGGGUA